rnacentral:rRNA from 1 species
GACGAACGCUGGCGGCGUGCCUAAUACAUGCAAGUAGAACGCUGAAGAGAGGAGCUUGCUCUUCUUGGAUGAGUUGCGAACGGGUGAGUAACGCGUAGGUAACCUGCCUUGUAGCGGGGGAUAACUAUUGGAAACGAUAGCUAAUACCGCAUAACAAUGGAUGACCCAUGUCAUUUAUUUGAAAGGGGCAAAUGCUCCACUACAAGAUGGACCUGCGUUGUAUUAGCUAGUAGGUGAGGUAACGGCUCACCUAGGCGGCGAUACAUAGCCGACCUGAGAGGGUGAUCGGCCACACUGGGACUGGGACACGGCCCAGACUGCUACGGGAAGCAGCAGUAGGGAAACUUCGGCAAUGGGGGGAACCCUGACCGAGCAACGCCGCGUGAGUGAAGAAGGUUGUCGGAUCGGAAAGGUCUGUUGUAAGUCAAGAACGAGUGUGAGAGUGGAAAGUUCACAGUGUGACGGUAGCUGACCAGAAAGGGACGGCUAACUACGUG